rnacentral:rRNA from 1 species
AGUGAACGCUGGCGGCGUGCUUAACACAUGCAAGUCGAACGAGAAACGGAUUUAGCUUGCUAAAUUGCAGUCUAAGUGGCGCACGGGUGAGUAAUGUAUAGGUAAUAUGCCUCUUACUAAGGGAUAACAAUUGGAAACGAUUGCUAAUACCUUAUAUGCCUUUAAUACGAAAGUAUGCAAGGGAAAGAUUUAUUGGUAAGAGAUUAGCCUGUAUGGUAUCAGCUUGUUGGUGAGGUAAUGGCUCACCAAGGCUAUGACGCCUAACUGGUUUGAGAGGAUGAUCAGUCACACUGGAACUGAGACACGGACCAGACUCCUACGGGAGGCAGCAGUGGGGAAUAUUGCACAAUGGGCGAAAGUCUGAUGCAGCAACGCCGCGUGGAGGAUGACACAUUUCGGUGCGUAAACUCCUUUUAUAUAGGAAGAUAAUGACGGUACUAUGAAUAAGCACCGGCUAACUCCGUGCCAGCCGCCGCAGUAAAAC